UACAGCAAGAGCACAAAAAAACACUAAGCUACACUUCCUCCAUAUUAAAACGAACGCCAAAAACAACAACUUUAUAAGACAAUAUUGCCUCAGCAAAGUCAAUGGGAAAUAUAACUAGUUUAAUGGGUGGCUGUCAGAGUGGAUGGAUGGAUGGAUAGAUAGAUAGAUAUGGAGUUUAACACAAGACAAACAGAUGAAAGUGAGUGUCGGAGCCAUUACGUGUUUUAGGGCUGCCCCGGCCAAAUGAGUAGGCGCUUUAAUGCUACAAUCCAAUCAGCAGCAGGCUAAACUAACACCCCAACUGUGUCUUUACUGACUGCAGAAUCAUCCAAUUGAGCGCAUAGCAUUCUGCGUGAGUGUCAUUCAAAUGUUACGUUUUCAGUAACUUUCUCCGAUCAAUAUAAUCGGAUGUUUUUCCCCGGGAGAACUCGGUACACCGUUGCAGCAGGCGCCAAGAUGAGCAAGUGUGGGAGACGACUUGUAUUACUGCAGCAGCAAGACGAAUCUUUCCUUCGGUACUCUGAGCUUUUGGGAAAUUCGUCUCCUCAGCACCUCCACCGUUUCUCCCUGAUGGACGGAGAGCUCGAAGCCGCUGCCAGUGGUUGAGCUGAUGGACAAGCGCAUGGACGUUUCUAAAGAUCAGAGGAAGUUAAGGAGACAAGUAGAAGAAGCCAUUUUGGAUUCUUGGAUGGACCCUAACUUACAGGAUUUCAAAUUCCCUGGAGCAGACCAUGUCUGCAGGGACACUGAGUUGACAUCAGAAGACAAGGGUACACACUUUUAAAUCCCUGGUCUCCAUAUUUCCCCUCCAUCCUCACAUUAUUCAUCCCCUCCACCAUGGCCUCUCCCAGCACAGUUUUUCCUUAACGUCUAAUCAGCCUGGAAUGUUACACCUCUAGCCUUGGAAUUCCUGAAAGCUGAGCUGACUUUUGCAAAGAAUUUGGUUUGUAUAGGGCGGAUGGUCUCUGAAAGUAUUUCUAAUGUACUGUAGAAAAAAAAACAGGGAUGACCAAAUUAGAUGGUGUCAGAUUUUUGGAUCUGAUUUGGCUCUGUAAUCUAGCAAAUUAGAGUAAUAAUUCAUUACAAACUGACAUUGUUAAUUUUAGGGUCACAGUAUGUAUUGUUCAGAGUAAACCAAUUUUAUGGAAGUAAAGGUAUUUGGACAAAUUCACAAUAUGUAUUUGGUCCUUUAUUCCUAUAAAGCAAUUGCCAUUAUGCAUGUAACUACAGCC